UGCGGGAUGCCGGAGCCGGGUCCCGCGACAGAAUGCUCGCUGAUCUAUCGGGAGACUGACGAUGUCC
rnacentral:sRNA from 15 species